rnacentral:rRNA from 1 species
UAGUCCACGCCGUAAACGAUGGAUACUAGCUGUUCGGACUUCGGUUUGAGUGGCUAAGCGAAAGUGAUAAGUAUCCCACCUGGGGAGUACGUUCGCAAAAAUGAAACUCAAAGGAAUUGACGGGGGCCCGCACAAGCGGUGGAGCAUGUGGUUUAAUUCGAUGAUACGCGAGGAACCUUACCAGGGCUUAAAUGUAGAUUGACAGGUUUAGAGAUAGACUUUUCUUCGGACAAUUUACAAGGUGCUGCAUGGUUGUCGUCAGCUCGUGCCGUGAGGUGUCAGGUUAAGUCCUACAACGAGCGCAACCCCUACCGUUAGUUGCCAGCAAGUAAAGUUGGGGACUCUAGCGGGACUGCCGGUGCAAACCGAGAGGAAGGUGGGGAUGACGUCAAAUCAUCACGGCCCUUACGUCCUGGGCUACACACGUGCUACAAUGGUCGGUACAGAGGGCAGCCACUACGCGAGUAGGAGCGAAUCCUUAAAACCGAUCUCAGUUCGGAUCGGAGUCUGCAACUCGACU